CAGUCCUGAAAUUCAACACGGUGAGAUUUUAAAUUCUCAAAUUUUCCUCGAUAUUG
rnacentral:antisense_RNA from 1 species